GUUGAAAACAGGAAUAUUAAUAAGGUAAAGAGUAUAGUUUAUGCUCAAAGUCAUUCAGAAAUAUUUACUGUUUUCAAACAGGUUUCCCAAACUCUACGCUUACCUUCCAUUGGUUGUCAAACCCACGGCCCUGCCCCAAAUUCACACCAUUGGAUGAGUCUGUGUUGCUUUGGCAUGGUGGUUGUGAUGCUCAAACAAAGAGUCGCUCUUUGGCAGGGGAGAUCCACAACCCAAGUGUGGUGUGAAGAAGAUUUCCAGAUCUGUGCAACUGGAAUAAAAGGAGGGGUCGAGGGGGACCACCCGUAAGGAUCAGAUAAGAGCACGGUAAGCCUGGCCCGAAUCAGUUUGGCAUUGGAAAUUACAGUGAUGUUUGCACGGGGGGAAAACAUUCCCCUCCGCUCUCCGCAUAACCACACUAUUCUCCGUAAUAGAUUUCAGGAGGCUUUUUUACCCGUGUCGGUGGUUGUUUAUUAUUGUUCCAAAUGAUAGAGUGCAGAGCUGGAGAAAGGAAGGGGGGCGAUAAGGAGGGGGGGCACUGAAAACAAUCAUCGUCAAACUCGAGUAUGCUGACUGUCACUCUAGAGAAAGGCUUUUGGAACGGCUGGCGAGAAGGAAAGAUUUAUGGUGUCUUAAAAGACAUGCUUUGAAAAGCAAUGGUCUCAGUUUAUGGAUUGAAAACACUUUUGUAGAACAGGCAACGCUCGUGCAGGACACGGUCUGCAAAUGAAAGUGUGACUACAGGUGAGGGUUCGCUGGUGACUCGCCUAUGCAAGCACUUAAACUGAUGCUGACAGACAGUAUGCCGAAGUGAGUUUGUCUGCACACUAACAGCUGAGCCUUUGUAGCGUGGCAGAAUAGAGAGGAAAAGAAAAAAAAGAGACCAAAUUAGCUUAAAAGUUAAACAUGUUUGUCUUCUGGAUCACUCUAUUGUAAGAACAACUAGAAAAGCUGCAGAUUAGUGGAGUCUAGUGGGUUUCAUUCAGAACCACAGCCUAUUGUGCAAACCAAAGGACAGUGAGUCUGGAGAUCACCAUAAAAGUAUUGUUCUCUCCAACCGAGCUGAAUCUGAUGACUCGCCCACCCACUGCAAGAGAUUUGUGAUUGUGCUUCUGGAGGGUUUUUAGUGUUACUUGUUUAAGUGCUGUCCACUUGACAUGUGAGAAUUAAUUGAAGAACGAAAUAUAACUGAUAAGAAAUAAAAUCUGAUAUAACUGGGAAAAUUAAUAGCA
ensembl:lncRNA